rnacentral:rRNA from 1 species
UACGUAGGCAGCAAGCGUUGUUCGGAGUUACUGGGCGUAAAGGGUGUGUAGGCGGUUGCCUAAGUUUGGUGUGAAAUCUCCUGGCUCAACUGGGAGGGUGCGCCGAAAACUGGGUGACUAGAGUGUGGGAUGGGUAAGUGGAAUUCCUGGUGUAGCGGUGAAAUGCGUAGAUAUCAGGAGGAACACCGGUGGUGUAGACGGCUUACUGGACCAUAACUGACGCUGAGACACGAAAGCGUGGGUAGCAAACAGG